GUCAGCACCCCAAGAUGCAUCUUGCCCACAGCACCCUCAAACCUGCUGCUCACCUCAUUGAGACCCCAGCAAGCAGAACUCACUGCUCUGGAGAGCAAACACGGACCGUGCCUUCCUCCAGGAUGGUUUCUCCUUGAGCAACAAUUCUCUCCUGGUCCCCACCAGUGGCAUCUACUUCGUCUACUCCCAGGGUCGUCACCACCUCUCCUUUGGCCAUUCCAACAGCUCAAGUCUUCCCUGAUCAAGUCACCGGAGCUUUCAAAGAAGGA
rnacentral:lncRNA from 1 species